AGAUCCAAUGCAGAAAAUCAGAAAAUGUUUCGGUGAGAAAUUUUUAGAAGUUCACGAGGAUCCAGAAUACACAUUGUCUGAAACGAUUAAGAACUGUUUCUGAAGACUUUCAACGGAUCACUUAACAUCUGAUGAGGACCAGCAUCUACAUAUUACCUAUAAUAUAAUAAUCUGAAUCUGUCGUGGUUUCCUUCUUUUUUUGAAUUAUGUUUAACUCUCAAAUACCUUUAUCUCGAAAAUAAAACUAUUUAAAAGCAACAA